GAUGAACGCUGGCGGCGUGCCUAAUACAUGCAAGUCGAGCGAACAGACGAGGAGCUUGCUCCUUUGACGUUAGCGGCGGACGGGUGAGUAACACGUGGAUAACCUACCUAUAAGACUGGGAUAACUUCGGGAAACCGGAGCUAAUACCGGAUAACAUUUUGAACCGCAUGGUUCAACAGUGAAAGACGGUUUUGCUGUCACUUAUAGAUGGAUCCGCGCCGCAUUAGCUAGUUGGUAAGGUAACGGCUUACCAAGGCAACGAUGCUUAGCCGACCUGAGAGGGUGAUCGGCCACACUGGAACUGAGACACGGUCCAGACUCCUACGGGAGGCAGCAGUAGGGAAUCUUCCGCAAUGGGCGAAAGCCUGACGGAGCAACGCCGCGUGAGUGAAGAAGGUCUUCGGAUCGUAAAACUCUGUUAUUAGGGAAGAACAAAUGUGUAAGUAACUAUGCACGUCUUGACGGUACCUAAUCAGAAAGCCACGGCUAACUACGUG
rnacentral:rRNA from 1 species